AUACGGAGGGUGCAAGCGUUAAUCGGAAUUACUGGGCGUAAAGCGUGCGUAGGUGGUUUGUUAAGUCAGAUGUGAAAGCCCCGGGCUCAACCUGGGAACUGCAUUUGAAACUGGCAUACUAGAGUAUAGGAGAGGAAAGUGGAAUUUCAGGUGUAGCGGUGAAAUGCGUAGAUAUCUGAAGGAACAUCAAUGGCGAAGGCAGCUUUCUGGACUAAUACUGACACUGAGGUACGAGAGCGUGGGUAGCAAACAGGAUUAGAAACCCUAGUAGUCC
rnacentral:rRNA from 1 species